rnacentral:rRNA from 1 species
GACGAACGCUGGCGGCGUGCUUAACACAUGCAAGUCGAGCGGUAAGGCCCUUUCGGGGGUACACGAGCGGCGAACGGGUGAGUAACACGUGGGUGACCUGCCCUUAGCUCUGGGAUAAGCCUGGGAAACUGGGUCUAAUACCGGAUAUGACUCCAUGACGCAUGUUGUGGGGUGAAAGCCUUGUGCGGCUAGGGAUGGGCCCGCGGCCUAUCAGCUUGUUGGUGGGGUGAUGGCCACCAAGGCGACGACGGGUAGCCGGCCUGAGAGGGCGACCGGCCACACUGGGACUGAGACACGGCCCAGACUCCUACGGGAGGCAGCAGUGGGGAAUCUUGCGCAAUGGGCGAAAGCCUGACGCAGCGACGCCGCGUGAGGGAUGACGGCCUCGGUUGUAACC